CGCCAGACUCCUACGGGAGGCAGCAGUGAGGAAUAUUGGUCAAUGGGCGAGAGCCUGAACCAGCCAAGUCGCGUGAGGGAGUACUGCCCUAUGGGUUGUAAACCUCUUUAGGCGGGGAGCAAUGCCGGGCACGCGUGUCCGGAGGGAGAGUACCCGCAGAAUAAGCAUCGGCUAACUCCGUGCCAGCAGCCGCGGUAAUACGGAGGAUGCGAGCGUUAUCCGGAUUUAUUGGGUUUAAAGGGUGCGUAGGCGGAUUUUUAAGUCAGCGGUAAAAUGUCCGGGCUCAACCCGGGCCGGCCGUUGAAACUGGGGAUCUUGAGUGGGCGAGAAGUAUGCGGAAUGCGUGGUGUAGCGGUGAAAUGCAUAGAUAUCACGCAGAACUCCGAUUGCGAAGGCAGCAUACCGGCGCCCGACUGACGCUGAGGCACGAAAGCGUGGGGAUCGAACAGGAUUAGAUACCCUAGUAAUC
rnacentral:rRNA from 1 species